UGGACGCGCUGCUGUGCAACGUUUGUGGAAGCUGAAUUAGUGAGGAUGACUCCUGCUCCUGUCAUCUCUAAACUCCUCACACAUCUUUACCUGCACAUGAGGAAGAUCACUCCUGUAGAAUGCAGAUGUUCAGAGGGAGAUGAUACCACAUCUGGUCCAGCUGAUGGAAGGUCUUGAAGUUCUCUGACUGGCCUCGACUGAAGAUGGUCGUCUCACUGGAUUUAAGGUUCAGAUGCUCAGUAACAAACUCCACCAAUGUGCCAACAGGGAAGCUUUAGGUUUAUUAAAUGUUGCUAUGAAGGUUUUGCUGUUUUUCUUUGUGAAUGCAAUGUGCUCCAACUGAAACUUGAAUUAGAACUUAGAAGUAAAUCCUUCCAUCUGAAACGAUUUAGUUGCAUUAAUAACCUCAUAACAUUCUAAUUUUUAUUCCAGUCUUGGUUGGAAAUAGAAUCUCUGUAUUGAUUCAGGUAAAAACUGAACUUCACAGCAUGUUGGAGCAAAACAACCAGAUGAAAACUGUGAUGAUGUUGGAUUGUCAGACUGUAAUGUUGCAGCUCAAAGCAGCUUUUCUAUCUCAGUUCAUUCUGACAUUCAGCUAUGAAUCAACACAGCGGAUGGUGAUCCACGCUGUGGAAGUCUCACAUCUCCUGAUGUAAUGGAACUUCUGCAGAGUCCUGGUUCCAGAACAUGAUGAUAGAAUUAUAGACAAACUUUAACAAAAGCUGUCUGAGAGUUUACAGGUUUUUAUGUUAGAUUUCUUCAGUAUUUUAAUGAGAGUUAUCAGCAAAAAUCAAGGGUUAAUUUGAUGAACUUGAUUUCCUAAAACAUCCAGAAUUGGAGCUCAUAUCUUUGGCAGCUGUAAAGUUUCUGCUCCUUCAAAGUUCACAACACAAUGAAUUAAUUCCUAAAACACUCUCAAUGCUGGAGAGCGUUUGUGAUGCUGAAGCAGUGAUCAGUUUUUCUGUUUCUUCUCUGGAGAUGCACAAUGAGGGACGUCUGCAGAGACUGAGAAAGAGUCUCACCACAUCCUGACAUGAGGAAAAAGACUUUAUUGAAGACUACAAUGAGAAAAACUAUCAGAUAGCAGACGGCUGCAUUCAAGUCUGUAGCUGCUGAAUUCAUGGAUGAAUCAUCUGGCACUAGAGAAGAAGACCAUCAAACAUCCACGUCAGCUGAUGGAGGUCCAAGAGUCUCAUCUAACAACCAACCUACAGAGUGAAGACCUCGAAUCUGAUUGGACGGCCUCCUAUUCAGCCACGCUACAGGAGGAGCCCUAUGAGGACGAGCCGGUCCACCUGAUGGUGGCCAGUCGCUGCGGUUCAAAGCCAACACCGACUACGUGGACUUGUACUGGACCACAUGGAGGCCUUCAAACCGGACCCAACAAGUUCACCGACUCCCCGACUCGUGGGUCUGAGGACGCCGCCGAGCCUCGGUCCAGCCGGCCUCCUGUCUGUGGGUGUUUGAGUGCUGAGAGGGAUUACCACAGACCUGACCGUGAACACCGUUGACACCCACCUGAGGGAGACGCUGCCUGAGAUCUCAAGGCUGCUUGGUCGUGGUCUUUCUGGUCCUGCUCCAGAACGCCUUCAUCAACUACGUCUUCUUCUGAAGAGGCCCUCAGAUGCUGCAAUCUCUAACCUUAAGGAAGAACUGCUAAUUUCACUCUGUAACGAGACGGCGGUUAUUUUAAAGACCCAGCUCCUGGCGGCUUUGAGUGAAAAUAACUGGAGCCUUCAAUUGGCUCCUGCUGGUCAUACUACAACUCUUGGUUUG
ensembl:lncRNA